UAGGGAAUAUUGCGCAAUGGACGAAAGUCUGACGCAGCCACGCCGCGUGAGUGAGGAAGGCCUUCGGGUUGUAAAGCUCUGUCGCCUGGGAAAAACGGCUAUUGGGGGAAAGUUCCAGUAGCGUGAUGGUACCAGGAGAGGAAGCACCGGCAAACUCUGUGCCAGCAGCCGCGGUAAUACAGAGGGUGCAAGCGUUGUUCGGAAUUACUGGGCGUAAAGCGUGCGUAGUCGGUAUUGAGAGUCGCGGGUGAAAUCCCAGGGCUUAACCCUGGAACUGCCUGCGAGACCUCAGUACUAGAGUGUGAGAGGGGAUAGUGGAAUACCCAGUGUAGCGGUGAAAUGCGUAGAGAUUGGGUGGAACACCGGUGGCGAAGGCGGCUAUCUGGCUCACAACUGACGAUCAGGCACGAAAGCGUGGGGAGCAAACAGG
rnacentral:rRNA from 1 species